AUAAUCGGAAAACAUUUGCUGUGUGGAGUUGUAUGCACAAAUUUUCGGAGUGGCUUUUUUUUUUUUUACUGAAGAAGCAAUUUUGGUAUUUACUCAUCAAAGAGUAAGAGAAGAAUACACACCUAUAUUAUGAGCCAUAAGUAUAAGGAAAUGCCUUGCAGACGUUUACAAAUACUAUGUAGAAGGAAUCAGACAUUCAAGCCAGUAUCUAUAAAUUUCAGCAAACAGAAUGAUUCUUUGACACACUCAGUCUUUCCAAGAAAUAACCAAGUUCCCGAACCAACACCAGAAGUAGAGC
rnacentral:lncRNA from 1 species